rnacentral:rRNA from 1 species
ACUCCUACGGGAGGCAGCAGUGGGGAAUAUUGGACAAUGGGGGCAACCCUGAUCCAGCAAUGCCGCGUGUGUGAAGAAGGCCUGCGGGUUGUAAAGCACUUUCAGUUGUGAGGAAGUUUCAUUGAUUAAGAGUUGGUGAAAUUGACGUUAGCAACAGAAGAAGCACCGGCUAACUCUGUGCCAGCAGCCGCGGUAAUACAGAGGGUGCAAGCGUUAAUCGGAAUUACUGGGCGUAAAGGGCACGUAGGUUGAUAAUUAAGUUGGAUGUGAAAGCCCCGGGCUCAACCAUGGGAGGGCCAUCCAAGACUGGUUAUCUAGGUAUAGUAGAGGGAAGUGGAAUUUCCGGUGUAGCGGUGAAAUGCGUAGAUAUCGGAAGGAACACCAGUGGCGAAGGCGGCUUCCUGGACUAAUACUGACACUGAGGUGCGAAAGCGUGGGUAGCAAACAGGAUUAGAUACCCUGGUAGGCACUGCU